AGUGGUUAGGAUUCGGCGCUCUC
rnacentral:piRNA from 4 species